AGCGAACGCUGGCGGCAGGCCUAACACAUGCAAGUCGAACGGACCCUUCGGGGUUAGUGGCGGACGGGUGAGUAACACGUGGGAACAUGCCUUUAGGUUCGGAAUAGCUCCUGGAAACGGGUGGUAAUGCCGAAUGUGCCCUUCGGGGGAAAGGUUUAUCGCCUUUAGAGCGGCCCGCGUCUGAUUAGCUAGUUGGUGAGGUAAUGGCUCACCAAGGCGACGAUCAGUAGCUGGUCUGAGAGGAGGACCAGCCACAUUGGGACUGAGACACGGCCCAAACUCCUACGGGAGGCAGCAGUGGGGAAUCUUGCGCAAUGGGCGAAAGCCUGACGCAGCCAUGCCGCGUGAAUGAUGAAGGUCUUAGGAUUGUAAAAUUCUUCCACCGGGGACGAUAAUGACGGUACCCGGAGAAGAAGCCCCGGCUAACUUCGUGCCAGCCGCCGCCGUAACAC
rnacentral:rRNA from 1 species